rnacentral:misc_RNA from 1 species
UUGCCCUCUAAGGUAGAGGAAGGUUUCUUCUCCUCCUCAAGGUAGGUUUCCCUCCUCAUCUUUGGGUGAGGCUGUGAAUAGUGUAUAUGUUUGAUUUUGAGUUUCAAGACAGAUAAAAUGGAGAGGAUCCUUGAGUUUUCUUGCGAUGAGGGUCUGUCGAUAGGAGGAAUCAUGUUUUCAACAUUACUCUGCUCUUCUAAGUGACUGUUUGAGUUAAGGCUUGGUGAGAAAGUGAUGGACACGUAUGGGUCCACUAGAUUGAUAUGCCUUUGGCUGACCCAAAGCUCUAAGAGACCGUGAUGCCUUGGUCCUCUUCGUUUAUCACUCUCCUUUUGGUCUUCUCUGUUGCUGUGAUGGUUGAGAUCUUGAGGUCCAAUAAAGGAUGAAUGGCGAUGGCUCAUAUGCAUGCUGCUCUCAUUGUGGAACUCUACUAGGGUUUUGGUCAUAUAGAGAUGUAUUUUUUCCCCCUUAAGGUUGGGGCUUAUAUUGUUUGGUUUGUGUUGUGUUGACUUGAGAUGGCUAUUUUGACCUCUUGAUUGUUUCUUGUUUUGGAGACAAGGCCUAUUAUAUGCACUCCUUUGACAUUCAAG